rnacentral:sRNA from 1 species
UUUUAGCCCCGAUUGAAACGAAAAUCCUUUUUUCCCAUCCUUUCAGGGCUUAAAACCCUGAAAGGAUGGGAAAAAAGAUUGCAGUGGAAAGCGGGAAAUAGC